rfam:Ruminococcus sp. CAG:9 genomic scaffold, scf160
UCAAAACCGAUGAGAAAGAAGAGUAAACAACCAAGAAUCAUUCCAGAGAACGGCAAUUGGUGGGAAGCCGUAUGAAACUGAUUGUUGAAUGGCCUUUCGAGGGCGGUCCGAAAUCUUGAUAAGCGUGAGAGUAGGCACCGACGGGAACCGAACCCGUUAUAAAUCAGGAGUGUAUGUUUGUACAUGAGAAAGUGGACGAUUCGUCAAUUUGAGUGGUACCGCGAUAAUAAGAUUCUUAUUACCGUCUCAAGC